rnacentral:rRNA from 1 species
GAUGAACGCUGGCGGCGUGCCUAACACAUGCAAGUCGAACGGAGUCCAGCCUUUAAGACCUUCGGGUCAAAGAGGGGAAGACUGAGUGGCGGACGGGUGAGUAACGCGUGGGCAACCUGGCUCAUAGAGGGGGAUAACAGAGAGAAAUUUCUGCUAAUACCGCAUAAGCACACACUGCCGCAUGGCAGGGGGUGAAAAGAGAAUCGCUAUGAGAUGGACCCGCGUCUGAUUAGCCAGUUGGCAGGGUAAGAGCCUACCAAAGCGACGAUCAGUAGCCGAUCUGAGAGGAUGAACGGCCACAUUGGGACUGAGACACGGCCCAAACUCCUACGGGAGGCAGCAGUGGGGGAUAUUGCACAAUGGGGGGAACCCUGAUGCAGCGACGCCGCGUGAGUGAAGAAGUAUUUCGGUAUGUAAAGCUCUAUCAGCAGGGAAGAUAAUGACAGUACCUGAAUAAGAAGCCCCGGCUAACUACGUG